rnacentral:rRNA from 1 species
GUGGGGAAUAUUGGGCAAUGGGGGCAACCCUGACCCAGCAACGCCGCGUGAGGGAAGAAGGUUUUCGGAUUGUAAACCUCUGUCCUAUGGGAAGAAGGAAGUGACGGUCCCAUAGGAGGAAGCCCCGGCUAACUACGUGCCAGCAGCCGCGGUAAUACGUCGGGGGCGAGCGUUGUCCGGAAUUACUGGGCGUAAAGGGUGCGCAGGUGGCCUGACAAGUCAGAUGUGAAAUACCGAUGCUUAACGUCGGGGCUGCAUUUGAAACUAUGAGGCUGGAGGGCAGGAGAGGGAAGCGGAAUUCCUAGUGUAGCGGUGAAAUGCAUAGAUAAGAGGAGGAACACCAGUGGCGAAGGCGGCUUUCUGGAAUGUAACUGACACUGAGGCACGAAAGCGUGGGGAGCAAACAGGAUUAGAAACCCUAGUAGGCC